CGGGGAAUAUUGGGCAAUGGGGGCAGCCCUGACCCAGCGACGCCGCGUGGGGGAAGACGGCCUUCGGGUUGUAAACCUCUUUUGUACGGGAAGAAGGAGGUGACGGUACUGUACGAAUAAGUCCCGGCUAACUACGUGCCAGCAGCCGCGGUAAUACGUAGGGGACGAGCGUUGUCCGGAAUUACUGGGCGUAAAGGGCGCGCAGGCUGUGCUGCAAGUCAGCUGUUAAAUGUCUGGGCUUAACCCGGGCAUGCGGUUGAGACCGCGGUGCUGGAGUGCUGUAGAGGCAAGUGGAAUUCCCAGUGUAGCGGUGAAAUGCGUAGAUAUUGGGAAGAACACCGGUGGCGAAGGCGACUUGCUGGGCAGCAACUGACGCUGAGGCGCGAAAGCCAGGGGAGCAAACGG
rnacentral:rRNA from 1 species